rnacentral:lncRNA from 1 species
UUUCUCUCUCCUCUGUUUCUGUCUCUCUUUUCUGUCUCUCUCUCUCUCUCUCUCUCUCUCUCUCUCUCUCUCUCUCUCUCUCUCUCUCUCUCUCUCUCUCUCUCUCUCUCUGUCUCUCUGUCUCUGUCUCUGUCUCUCUCUCUCUCUCUGUCUCUCUGUCUGUCUCUGUAUCUCUCUCUGUCUCUCUCUGUCUCUGUCUCUCUCUGUCUCUGUCUGUCUCUCUGUCUGUCACAGACACACACACAGUCUCUGACACUCUCUCUGUCAGACUCUGU